rnacentral:lncRNA from 1 species
CUAAUAUAUUACUAUUAAUAGUAUACUAUUAUACUCUUCCAGCUAGCCUCAUCCCAGAGUGAGGAUGGAUAUGAGACCUGCCUCAUAGUGGAACUGAGUAUCUUCUGGGACAUAGGUUGAUUUCCCUGAAGCCUGAGAGAAAGAAAAGUCUAUGAUUGGAAACUUCCCAUUCAAGUUAAUCCAUCACCUUGAGCUUGGGGAUUUGCAUCCUGGAGGUAGAUGUUCUAAGACUAAGGCAUCUCAAAAGCUGUCCCUGUCCCUCUUCUGGUGCUGAUUAAGGGAUGUGAAAAAGAAACCAUUUGCUAUUUCCAAGUUUCCAUGGAUGGUUCUCAACUGCCUAGAAGUUGAAAACUGGAGAGAAAAAGGCACAAUUUGCUCUUUCUUAUAUUGGCUCCAAGAACAGCUGUCAUAAAGUCCUACACCUGUUCCAAGUGAUCUCAAAAUCUAUGCCAUCACAUAGCAGCUAACCAUCAGACCCUGCUGACUCAAAGAGUUGAAGAACUGAAGGUUGUAAAUUUGUAAAACCCUGAUCGUAAUACUCACAUUCUCACUU